UAUCUCCCUUCCCUCUCUCUGCUCUCACGUCUCUCUCUCCCUCGCCUCUCUCGCGCCGCCGUCAACAUGAGGAGCGCAACGCGCCGUCUCUGCCCCAUGUUUUUCCUCUGUCCUCACUUUCUCCAGCCCAAGCCACGACCACACCUCCGCGCCUGCCUUCUCCUCAUCGGGAACAGGCAGAGGAGGAGGAGCAUGGGCCGCAGAGACGACGAGGUGGCCGAGCUGCCCGUGGUGUCGUCGCCGUUCCUCACGACUCAGCGGGAGGUGUGCCGGCCGCAGGAGGAGUGCGCGCUGGGGAUGUGGCGGGCCAAGGGCCACUAGCCCGCGCCGCCCGCUCACCGUCAGAUCCGAGCGCAGCCUCUUCGACGACCUCCCAUGCACGCCAGCGCUGGCGACGGUGAGGACCUCGCACUCUGUUCCCCGGGGCCGUCCACUAUGCACCAUUAGUUCGACCAAGGAGCGACAGAGGCAGAGGCGCAGGGCGACCAGCGCCCCAUGCAGGCACUAGAUGCGGCGCUCCUCCAUCUCUCCUCCUUCUGCGUCUAUUGCAGGAGACGAACAUACGUUGCUGGUCGCCGGCUUGGCCUGCAAGAGGAUGCUCUCCUGCUCUAACUUGCUCACAUGUUAGUGUUUCAUCAAUGAAGAUGUAUAUUCAAGCCUAUGUCUUCAUAAACAGCAACUCGUCCUCCCUUCCCCUUGGGACCUGCUGGUUGUGGAGAAGUCUGAGAUUCUGACUCGGGCAGUGAUUCUGAAAGCGAAUCAGAGAAGGUUGGUAGUGCAGCAAGGCUUGCGAAGGUAACUGACGAUAGUUUACUGUCGAGUGAGUCCUUUAUAUUCUGGCGGAGUUACUGAGGAAGGAGGUAAAUGAAGCGCCAACUAUUACCAGCAAAAAUCAAUGUGGAGUUGCAGUUCCAUGUUGUCAUCAUCAUUCAGGGAUGGACGACGAGCAGCUGAGUUUGCUGCCAUUGGAUUCAUUAAACGGGAGGUCAAUAUGGUUGGCUUUUGCACUGUGGACUUUGCCAAGGGUUCCCCAGAUGCGAUUUUGCUUGAUAAAGCUUGCUUGGUCCUGUGGGAUGAAGCUCCAAUGGUGCGCUGUCACUGUUUCGAAGCUCUUGAUAGAAUUUUCAGAGAUAUACUUGCAGUAUAUGAUAGCUCAAGGUCACUCUUCCCUUUAAGAGGAAAGGUUGUUGUUGUUAGUGGCGAUUUUAAGCAAGUACUUCCUGUUAUGCAAGAAGGUGCUAAGACUGGAAUUAUUGGAGCUUCUCUGGUCAUGUCACCUUUAUGGAGGCAUAUCAAGCUCUACGUGAUGUCUGCAAGGAUUGAGAAGACAAUUGGUCUGAUUGCUUUCGGAAGAGGUGGCAGAAAGAAUAGAAACAAUGAUGCCUAUGUUGAUUCAAAGUAUAGUUAUUAAGCAAACCAUUACUGUUAUUAGUUCUUAGUUCCACCUAUAUGUUUGAGAAAUUCAAAUGAUGGAAUCAAUGGUCUAUAUUUCCUUUAAUUUGUGGAAUAUAUACUGUGUAAUCAAUAGUGGACUGGGUGGGUGCUGCCAUCGUGCUUUGUUGUUUUGUGUAACAGGCUGUAUCGAAUAUGAAUCGUGUUCUAUCAAGUUGGAUAUAAUGUCAUUGCAUUGUAAAUAAA
rnacentral:rRNA from 1 species